rnacentral:misc_RNA from 1 species
GAUGAAGAACGUAGCGAAAUGCGAUAAGUAAUGUGAAUUGCAGAAUUCAGUGAAUCAUCGAAUCUUUGAACGCACCUUGCACCCUUUGGCUAUUCCGAAGGGUAUGCCUGUUUGAGUAUCAUGAACACCUCAACUCUCAUGGUUUGCCAUGAUGAGCUUGGACUUUGGGGGUCUUGCUGGCCUGUGGUCAGCUCCUCUCAAAUGGAUUAGCUUGCCAGUGUUUGGUGGCAUCACAGGUGUGAUAACUAUCUACGCUUGUGGUUUUCCACCAGGUAACCUUCAGCAAUGAGGGUUCGCUGGGGCUCAUAAAUGUCUCUCCUCAGCGAGGACAGCUCUUUGAACGUUUGAUCUCAAAUCAGGUAGGACUACCCGCUGAACUUAAGCAUAUCAAUAAGCGGAGGA